rnacentral:lncRNA from 1 species
AUGGGGAGAUCGCCCGCCCUCCCCGAGGCCGUUGGAGGCGGGCAUGGGCGGGCCGUUGGAGGGGGCGGGGCGUGCAGCUUGGUAACCGUUGCCGGGCGCAACGCCCCGCCCCGUGAGGGCAGUGCGAGGCUGAGGCGGGCGGGCGCCUGCUGCGGGCGGGCGCUGCGGGCGGGCGGGAGGGCGGCGGGAGCCGGAGGAGGAGCGGCCGGCGCCGCCACCGCCGCCGCCAUAGAGACUGUAGCCGUGGAGACUGUUACUUACCAACGCGGAGCGACACGCAGCGGCCGACGCCGCGGGAGCCGCUACCGGAACUCCCUGCCGAACUCCAGGAUUUGGGGCUCCGGCACCGUUUUCUUGACUUAGGAUUUGGGGGCUCCGGCACCGUUUUCUUGACUUUGACCAAAUAGUCACUGCGUUUGUUCUGGAAGGAACUCCUCCCUUCGCGUUUUCUUGCCCAUCCCAAAUACCCCCGGCGCCCCAAAUCUUCGGACCACUCUCCCCUGGAACCCUACACCGCUGCGUUUGGGGAUCCUUUACCAUGCCGCUCCGGGAAGCUCAAGCGCACCCAUAGCGUCCUCUUUGCCGAGAUCCCCAAUCUAGAAAACUUUCCCGAAGGAAAAUAUUGUGUGAACCGUUUGUAGGAAGAUCCAGGAGGCCGGGAGAGUGCGUGCGCAGCCCUCCUGUGCACACAGGCAGCACACCCCAAAACACCGGAUUGUCUUCCUCGCCCCUUUCCAUGGGUCAUAUCCGAGUUCGCAGUUGGGAUUCGCUAGGGCUGCGGUUGUUUCCUUGGACCCUAGAGAGCUCGGCGUCCGGACAGAGCCCCCUAGGGUGGCGGGGAGGGGAGUUGGGGCGGGGAACGCACCGAGAAACAGCUGGGACCGCUGUCUCUCCUGAGACUUCACUCCUACUUUAGUACGUCUCGGGAACACUCCGGUACUCAGGUCCCCCAGGAAAAAUCCUACAACGAUUGAGUGUUAAUAAAUGUUACUUUAUUAGCA